CAAUCGGCCCUUUUCAGGGCCAUCAUACGUUCAUAAAAGGGUUUAU
rfam:Aedes aegypti strain Liverpool supercont1.175 genomic scaffold, whole genome shotgun sequence.